AUCGGUCCUCGGUGGUGGCCCCCGGGCCCGCCCCUCCGCGCGAGGGGGUUCCCGUGGGCCUCGAUCGAAGACCGGU
rfam:Geodermatophilus pulveris strain DSM 46839 genome assembly, contig: Ga0131106_101